rnacentral:lncRNA from 1 species
UUAAGUUUCAGUUCUGUUACAGGUACCAGCUUCUGUCAUCCUUACAGAUGUGAUUUAGAGGACUUUUUAAAGAAGAAGAUAAUAGAGAUCAUAAGUUCCAAUGCCUUAGUAGGAGAGAAGUGGAAUGAAAGUAAUUGGUUUUACUGCUUUGGAUUGACCAACAGUCCUGUAUCGCUGCAAGGCCAGAAAGUCAAGCUAAGAUGCCAUCUGUUUUGCUGCAGAAGUGCUAUUCUGCAAGCCAGGAUUGUUUUUGAGAAGGCUUAAGAAUAUUUUCAGAUUGUACUCAUUCAAGAACUCUUCCAGAUGAACUCCUUGAAGCAGUGAGCCUCUCCAACAAGGCUGAUCUUGGUGAUACUGCAGUGAAGCUCUCUAUACUCUGAAGCUGAAGGUAUUUUUGAUAUUGGUUCGUAUCUCCAAAAACUUACCGAUUUAAAUCCUUAUGGCAGUGAUUGUCAUAAACAAGCCUUUGCUUCAGAGGAGAGAGUAAGAAAGG